UUAAUUUGAUGAUGAUUAUAUUAAUGAUGAUGGCGAUUGAAAUGAUGAUGAUGUUGAAUUAUGAUAACUACGAAGAUGAUGCUGACGACGACUAUGAUAAUCAUGAUGGAACUGACGAAGUGCUAAUACUAGGAAAACAAAAUUGUGUUUUGUUUCACUAUAUUUAUGUAGUAAUUCAACGCACUUUCGUUUCGAAGACCGAAGUUGGAUUUGCACCAAAGUGCGGUAUUACAAUGCCCACUGGUUACACAAUAGCGAACAACUGCAGGGUUUACGCGUUAUGAUUAAAGACCUGUUACACUAUAUUGGCUGGAUAUAAUGUGAACUAAACGUGUAUGUUCACAUGUCAGUGAUUGCGUUUAUAAACAAACAUGUGGCAAUAUUGCGAAUGAUUCUCCAACAAACGACAGACAUUACGUGUUUCCCUUUCUGCGCAGUUUGCUAAGCGUUACACACACAGACAGCUAUUGGGUUUUUAUAAUAAACUAUUUAUAGAAUUUUAUUAAUUGUGCGUUAUAUUUUAUAAAUGCCAGCGUCUUUAUUGAGUGCUAAAGGUUUUACUGGUGGUACGUUUCUCCGGAUAUAAAUGAAUACAUUCCUCAUCGGAUACAAAAAUAGAGGUUAUUAUUUUUACAGAAAUAAUUGAAAACUAAAUCCGGAUCAUGCGCAACCUCAAAAAGUACUUAAGCAAGGCUGAUGAAACAUAAAGGAUGAUGUUCAUAGAGGGUUGCAUGAGGAACAUGCAGAAAGUCUAUUAAUUGCCACUAAAAUAUUGCGACAAAAAACUGGAGCCACCAAUAAAUCUAACUUUAGAUUCCAUAAUAUUUGCCUAAACGCAAACGCAAGAAGCAAGAAUAUCCACUCGUUGUGUGCAAAGUGCGGAACUAAAGCUGGAAAUUUCCAGAUGAUUCAUCCAUCGGAAGCAACGUGCUUUUGUGUUCAUGUCUCCAAAGACUCGACCAACAAAACUGUAGUCCAUGGCGAUGAUCCAUCACGCAAUUUGUUCAAAAUUUUGGAUUAUGUUGGAUACAGCCAUGACAUGGUCGCAGAAAGGAGGAGAGUGUUUCAUGAGAAAGACGCGAUGAUUAAUAGUGCAAGAGAUGACGAAAUCGUCAGUGUAACAGCCGGCAGCAAGGCUGAAGGAUUCGCAUCAUGUUUUGAAAGCGACUACGACCGAUUGAACGUAUACACGAACAUCGUUUGCCAAUUUGAAAUUUGCCCAAACAUGUUUUCAAAGGAUUCAACAGAGUUUUGCAUGUUAGCGGAAGCAUGCCAUCCAGGACAUUACAAACUGAAGUUGUUAACAAGAGGUGCUAAGUUGCCGAAAAUCAUGGAAGAGUCGUUUGUCAAAAACCAUCAGGGAGAGACUUACAUUUCUAGUGAUUUAUUCACGAAGGAACUAGAGCAGACCGUUCCUAUGGAUACA